rnacentral:rRNA from 1 species
UACAGAGGUCCCAAGCGUUGUUCGGAUUCACUGGGCGUAAAGGGUGCGCAGGUGGCAUGACAAGUUCGAUGUGAAAGCCCCGGGCUUAACCCGGGAAUGGCAUUGAAUACUGCCGUGCUGGAGGAUUGGAGGGGGGACUGGAAUUCUUGGUGUAGCAGUGAAAUGCGUAGAUAUCAAGAGGAACACCAGUGGCGAAGGCGAGUCCCUGGACAAUACCUGACACUGAGGCACGAAAGCCGGUGGGGAUCGAAACAGG